GUCUCUCAGAUGGUUGGAGGAUGCAGCCUCUCUUUUAUCUUAAAAUCCCUGCUGCAUCACCCUUUUCCUUUUUCCCACGGCCAAGGUAAUCAGAAGGUACAGAGUUACCGAAUCGCCUGCUCUAUGCACCCCCUCCCAAUAUGCACCCCCCUUUCAUUAUAUAAAAGAAAGGAAAACCUACUCAUUAUUUGACUAAGUCUGUGUUCCCAUGCUCUAGGUUCAGGAAUUUAACAGGGUCUUGGCUGAGCAACAGUCUGUGUUGAUCAGUAACAUUCUCUAGAGCUAAUAGCUUGUUUUGUUACUUCCCUAUCUCUGAGUGCAUGGCCCUAUCCCCAAGCAGAUUCACACGGUCUGUUUGUAAAGACACAUUCAUCUUAUUUGUUUCAAUCCCUCCUUUUAUUUUCUUAGUAAUUGCCUUUACAAACUUUAAAUACCAUUGAUUUAAUCUUUUCUUCCUGGGUCUUCUUUGACUCAAUGUCAUGAUUCUGUCCUUGAGUUGUUUAAUUUUCCACAAACUUCUCCUUUUCAUGCUAAUAGAUAAUAUAAUACUAUCUGGUGUAGAUAAAAUAAUACUAUCUGAUGUUGAAAUGUUCCAUUUCUCAUCUGACUGGGUUUCAUUCCAUCUGCCUCAAUAUUUGCAACAAUCAUAAGGAGGGCAGUUGGGGGUCCAACAGUCUAAACCCAAAGGUAAGGUUUAUUCACAAAUGCUUUUUCCUGCAUUUGUGAAUAAACGCCUGUCCUUUUUAGGCAAUAAAUACCUCUUUCAGAGCAAUGAAGCUGCCAUGGACUUCCUUCCUCAUCCCAAAAUCCCAUUCCAUUAUGGACCUCACUCUAGGUGUGACCCACCAUUUAAGUGCGGCUUGGCCCCUCCUGACCCAACAACUGCUAAGGUUAAGAACUUUUGCUGCUUCUUCUCCUAAGGCUGCAAAUUGAUUCUCCCACCUCUGGCCCAACCCUGACUGACAAUAUAAAGUAUUAAGGAAAAAUAUUCAAUAGUGUAAUCUAAUUAUUUAGUCAAAUUCUCACAUUGUCUUCCCCACCACCUGUGGUAACUGAAGGCACAGAAACAAUUUAACAUAAAGAAAACAGUGACAAUAAGGGUUGUCCUGCCAGUGGCUGGAGAUGGCAGAGGAGGGUGGCCAGGAUUGCAGAGGAUUCCAGG
rnacentral:lncRNA from 1 species